rnacentral:tRNA from 1 species
GGGGAAUUAGCUCAGUUGGUAGAGCGUUUGCAUGGCAUGCAAGAGGUCAGCGGUUCGACCCCGCUAUUCUCCA